CGCCGCCUCCUCGCGGUGCAGCGUGAGUAGGGAGCCCCGGCUGGUGGACGCCGAGUCUCUGGGCUCCACCGCCGCCUCCUUCCAGAGGUGCAGUCGCACCUCCGCGUGGCGCCCCGAUCCCUGCGAGCCGGCUGCGGGUACGUCCCGCGACCCCUCGCCGCCACCCCCGGACCCACCCGCCUAUCCUUCCUUGAUUCUUCUCUCGGAAAAAUGGUUCCCGCUGCGGGCGAGAUGUAUACAUCUCAAGAUUGAGAGGAAGAAACAAGUCAUGGGCCAGUGGUCAAGAUACUUCUCUGGGAAUUGUUGCUGCUGAUAACUGCUUUACCAAGUCAUACAAUGAGUGUUUGGUUUAAGGAAGAUUUUAAUAUUUAAAAGAUUUUCAUCUUGGAAAAUUGAUCAAGUGAAGAUUUCAUUUCUUUUUUUUUUUUGGGAAACAUUUUCCUCCUCAUAAAUUACCCUUGUAAUGGGCGACAUGGCAAACAACUCAGUUGCAUAUAGUGGUGUGAAAAACUCUUUGAAAGAAGCUAAUCAUGAUGGCGACUUUGGCAUCACACUUGCCGAGCUGCGGGCCCUCAUGGAGCUCAGGUCCACAGAUGCAUUACGAAAAAUACAGGAAAGCUA
rnacentral:lncRNA from 1 species